UAAUACGUAGGGUGCGAGCGUUAAUCGGAAUUACUGGGCGUAAAGCGUGCGCAGGCGGUUCGCUAAGACCGAUGUGAAAUCCCCGGGCUUAACCUGGGAACUGCAUUGGUGACUGGCGGGCUGGAGUAUGGCAGAGGGGGGUAGAAUUCCACGUGUAGCAGUGAAAUGCGUAGAGAUGUGGAGGAAUACCGAUGGCGAAGGCAGCCCCCUGGGCCAAUACUGACGCUCAUGCACGAAAGCGUGGGGAGCAAACAGGAUUAGAUACCCUGGUAGUCCACGCCCUAAACGAUGUCAACUAGUUGUCGGGUCUUCAUUGACUUGGUAACGAAGCUAACGCGUGAAGUUGACCGCCUGGGGAGUACGGUCGCAAGAUUA
rnacentral:rRNA from 1 species